UUCUAGGAACAGCAAUGAGUGAAGUGACCCCCGGACAAUAUAAUGGGGAUUAUAAAAGUAUACUGUGACACAAACAAUAUACCUCUCUAUUGAUACGAUGGUUACGUGUGAUAAAGGGAAGGAGAAAAAACUUUCAAGGGCGGAUUUCCUUUCAGGAUUUGUCGAUGCUGGAAUAGAAUUGACAACUACUGAUACAGAGUUUCUGGACAACAUGCUUGCAGACUACAAGACAGCCGAUGGUAAAAUAGACUACACAUCAUUGAAAUGACAAAGUGGCAGUGACAAGUUGAUGAAUUUCUUUGAAUUAUAGAAAUAAGAUGUAAAGACAUGAACAUAGUAAAUUCAUCAUAUUUUGGAAUAAAAAGUUUUAAAUAUCUCA